rnacentral:rRNA from 1 species
GACGAACGCUGGCGGCGUGCUUAACACAUGCAAGUCGAACGGUGAAGCGCCUUCCUUUUUGGUGGGUGUGGAUGAGUGGCGAACGGGUGAGUAACACGUGAGUAACCUGCCCCCUUCUUCUGGAUAACCGCAUGAAAGUGUGGCUAAUACGGGAUAUUCUGGGUCUGUCGCAUGAUGGGUCUGGGAAAGAUAUUGUUUCGGUGGGGGAUGGGCUCGCGGCCUAUCAGCUUGUUGGUGGGGUGAUGGCCUACCAAGGCGGUGACGGGUAGCCGGCCUGAGAGAGUGGACGGUCACACUGGGACUGAGACACGGCCCAGACUCCUACGGGAGGCAGCAGUGGGGAAUAUUGCACAAUGGGCGCAAGCCUGAUGCAGCGACGCCGCGUGAGGGAUGGAGGCCUGCGGGUUGUGAACCUCUUUCGCCAGUGAAGCAGGCCUGCCUCGUUUGUGGGUGGGUUGACGGUAGCUGGAGAAGAAGCGCCGGCUAACUACGUG